rnacentral:misc_RNA from 1 species
AAGAUUUAAACACUACUUCAAAUUUCGAAUAUGCACUGUCACCAUUGGCCUCUUAUUGUCAUUCUUAAUUCCCUAAUUUUCUGGAUAUAAAUUAUUGGAAUACCAGGCUAUUUGUAUGCUAGACCUGACUGGCCAGUUAGCACAAUCUAAUUUGUUUGUGCAUAGCGUUGAACAUGUCUUAUAAAGGGAUGCCAAUCUACUAUUUAGGUGAUAGAUUUUAGUUAGAUCAUAUGGAUUAGGUUGAGACUAGAUGGGCGUCUCUUUUUUUUGGAGAAUGAAGCUUGGAAUGCUUGGCUUGCAUGUUGUAGAAAUUAGCAGUUUUUGCUUGUUUGGAGCCAGUCUCCCAUUGUAAUGAAGGGGAAAAAUCGUUUGAUCUGGAUCAUUCUUCUCUUUCUCGCAAGAUGAGAUGCACUUGUAUAUUGUGGAAACAAAUCAUUCCCAUUUAUCGACUUUAUCCUUUGCCUUCCUUUCCUGAUUAUUUCUGCAUGACUAUAGAGUUUUAUGCUGCCUAUGAUAAAAAGCAAAGGAAAAAUUGGGGAUUGAAUCCAGGUAUUGUCUUCAGAGAAUAUGGGAGUCCAGAUAUGAAGACAUUGUGUUUAUUUUGCCCCUCAUGAAAAAGUUUUAUUUUAAAAUAAUCAUUCAUGAGCUUCCAAAGCAGUCAUUUGACUUACUGUUCAUCAGUAACUGAAUUAUUCAAUUUCAUUUUUCUAAUGCCAACUCACCAAGUUAAUUUAAUUACUCAAAUAUAGUUAUUCUGGCCAAAAACUCCACUU